rnacentral:lncRNA from 1 species
AGACCUGCAAGCGGCUCACGACACAGAAGCCACUCAGACAGAAAAACAAGAGAAAGGGCAACAGAGAAGUGAGAGUCUGUGGACACUCUUGGCCCCUGCCUCCGUGCUCAAGGCAACAAACUGAUGGGCUCUGCACAGGGAUGGAAAACUCAGCUGCAGAGGGAACCGCUCUGCUGACUGCCAGUUACCAAACACUCGUUCCACCUGGACACAUUCAGGAGGCUCCGAUAACUUCCAUGACGGCGCAAGAUUUGAAACCAGACCUUGCGACUAUGGAGCGUUGAGUUUGUCUUCCUAAGCGAUGGGGCAUUGAGUACAACCUUCUGGACGGCAAUGCAGCAAGUGAAAGCGACUUCAUUCUACACUGGCCAUGAGAUGAUGGACGAGCAGCAGAUGCUAUCAAUUUAUGGAUUCUCUGAACUGAAACAGCCAAGCCUCUUAUUAAGGUGCGGACGGCUGGGAACCUGCCCUAGAAUCCUGUUUGCAUGUGGGAGGUUACUGGCAAGGUGCCAAGGACUUAACUCAUGUUCUGUUCUAUCCAUAUAGACAGUUUCAUCAAUAGUAACACCCAGACCCAUUCUCAAACACUGCUCAUGAGAGAUGAUGUGAGACCUGCUCCUUCAAUCAUGAUCCUGUGAGGAAGCAGGAAAGAUUAAACUGGGGCCAAAGAGGCAAAGGUAUCCUUGAAGAACUAUCUGGGAAAGAUAAAAGUUAGUUCAGAGAAAAUUACAGCCAGUAAUAUACUGCAGCAUUGUGAACCUUAAUACAUUUCUUUCCUCAGAGAUGACCGUAAACACUAUUCCCAAAGAUAACUGGAAAACAGAAAAAAAAAAUGGAGGAAAAAGUAUAGAUUUCUCAGACACUUUAAAUAUCCCUGGAUUAUUUUUUUGUUCUUCCAUCAACAGCAAUGACGACAAAAAGCAGUGAUUCUCUUACACAACUGAUUUGGCCCUCGUCUCAAAAGACAGAAUUGUGACCACUAUUCCAUAGAAUUCUUUAGUUACUUGUUAAUGGCGAAUCCCACAAGGGAAGAACUUUAACUUGCUUCUUCUGCAAGUCUAAUACUUUAGAAGGUGUACAGGAGACAGGAAGAACACAUUUCAUGAGCUGAGCUAGCCCAUGCUGUCCCAGUAUGGCCCAUGUUACUAACCACCUUAGUCAUUUUCCUGUCCUCAUCUGAGACACGUAUCAGCCAGACAUUCCCUUAAAAUCCUGUGCUGGCUGGUUUGUCAACUUGAUAUGAAACUAAAUGUAUCUGAGAAGUGGAACCUCAAUUGAAAAAAACACCUCUAAAAGACUG